rnacentral:lncRNA from 1 species
GGAUGAAUAAUGCCAAUUCCAAAGGUGUUCUACAGGAACGAUUUGCUUAUGGAGCACAAGCUGAACCCUAGUUGUGCAGCCCAUUAGCAGUAAACACUGUGGAAGGAAAUCCACAUCUCAGGGAGCUGACAGGUCUCCCAGUUGCCAGCACUGUGGAAUUCCUAAAACACCUCCCCCCCCCCCCCCCCCCCCCCCCGCAGAGAGAAUCACAACUGUGGUGAAGCCAUCAUUUUGCAGGAAGAUGAACUUUGAAAUGGAUGAGAGAGAACAGCCAAAGUUGAAGGUGUGUCUCCACGUGACUUCAUGCAACAGGAAAGCAAGAAGAAACUGAAGUUCAAAGAAGUUGCCGGGAUUCUUACAGGUGCAGAAACCCCUGACUUUUUAAAACAUGUGCAAGCUUUCCCUGUUCUUAGAUAAUGGCUAUGGUUUCAUGUAAACUUUCUGGGGUUUGAUCAAAAGAUAAACAUCCCUGAGUGACUUCUAUGGACUCUACUGUUUGAUACCCCACUGGUAAAGAGAAAAGAGGUCAAAGACAGCUCAUAAUGCUGAAGUGUUUACACC